rnacentral:rRNA from 1 species
CCUACGGGAGGCAGCAGUGGGGGAUAUUGCACAAUGGGGGGAACCCUGAUGCAGCGACGCCGCGUGGGUGAAGAAGCGCCUCGGCGCGUAAAGCCCUGUCAGCCGGGAAGAAAAUGACGGUACCUGAAGAAGAAGCCCCGGCUAACUACGUGCCAGCAGCCGCGGUAAUACGUAGGGGGCAAGCGUUAUCCGGAUUUACGGGGUGUAAGGGGGGCGCAGACGGCGAUGCAAGCCAGGAGGGAAAGCCCGGGGCCCAACCCCGGGACUGCGCUUGGAACUGCGUGGCUGGAGUGCAGGAGGGGCAGGCGGAAUGCCGGGUGUAGCGGUGAAAUGCGUAGAUAGCAGGAGGAACACCGGUGGCGAAGGCGGCCUGCGGGACUGCAACUGACGUUGAGGCCCGAAAGCGUGGGGAGCAAACAGGAUUAGAUACCCGAGUAGUC